CUUCCCUCCAGACUUGACUACUCAUGA
rnacentral:misc_RNA from 1 species